rnacentral:rRNA from 1 species
AAGUUACUCAAGCGCAUACAAGGGAUGCCUAGACGUAAGAUACCGAUGAAGGACGUAGUAGGUUGCGAUAAGCUUCGGGGAGUUGCCUAACAAACUUUGAGCCGAAGAUAUCCGAAUGGGGAAACCCACAUGGAGUCAUGUCCAUGGGCGCUUAUCUGAAUUAAAUAGGAUAAGUAGCGGGAACCGGGGGAACUGAAACAUCUUAGUACCUCGAGGAAGAGAAAGUAAACAACGAUUCCGUUAGUAGUGGCGAGCGAAUGCGGAAUAGCCCAAACUUUUUAGGUUUUUGCCUAUCCAUUUAUGGAUGGCAAAUAAGUUGGUAGACGAAUAUCUAAAAAGGGUUGUAACAUCACAAAUACCAGUACGGAGUUCUGCGCAAGCAGCCUUCCGUAUUGGAAACGAAUGCUACCACCAUUCGUGUAAGGUAAGAAAUUAGCAGUGCGAGUAGAACAGUCUGGAAAGACUGGCCAAAGACGGUGAUAGCCCGGUAUACCAAGUGUUGCUAACCUUAUAAUUUGUUUUGUUGAGUAGGUCGGGACACGUGAAACCCUGACUGAAUCUGGGGGGACCACCCUCCAAGGCUAAAUAUAUCUUGCGAUCGAUAGUGAACUAGUACCGUGAGGGAAAGGUUAAAAGAACCCCGAAAGGGGAGUGAAAUAGAACCUGAAAUUGUAUGCGUACAAGGAGUCGGAGCCCUUCGGGGUGACGGCGUGCUUUUUGUAGAACGAUCCAGCGAGUUACUGAUUGUCGCGAGCCUAAGACAUUUGUCGGAGGCACAGUGAAAGCGAGGCUGAAUAGGCCGGUGGGGUCUCAUGCCUGAGAAGAAUUGGAUUGCGAGUUCAAAUCACUAGCCUGUAACGUCGUAAAUUUUAUGAGACGUAUUAAUCAAUACGCCGCAGUAAAAUUUCCGGCGCUACAGGCAGCGAUUUUAGCUCUCAUUACCAAUUUUCCCAGACAUGAGACCCCGUAUAGUGGCAAUUAGUAGACCCGAAACCAGGUGACCUAACCAUGGGCAGGUUGAAGCGUCGGUAAAACGGCGUGGAGGACCGAACCAGGGUACUUUUCAACGUGCUUGGAUGACCUGUGGUUAGCGGUGAAAUGCCAAUCGAACCUGGAGAUAGCUGGUUCUCCUCGAAAUAGCUUUAGGGCUAGCGUCGUACGGUAGCUGAUAGGGGUAGAGCUCUGUUUCGGACUGGGGGUCGCAAGAUUACCCACCCUUGACAAACUACGAAUA